AGACGGAAGCGGAAGUGUCGGUGGCCGGCGAGUAAGAAGGGCUUGUUCCUGGAGUGGAGAUGGCGGCCCUUGCUCCGCUCCCCCCGCUGCCCCCGCUGCCUCCACAGUUUAAGAGCAUACAGCAUCAUCUGAGGACGGCUCAGGAGCAUGACAAGCGGGACCCUGUGGUGGCCUAUUACUGUCGUUUGUAUGCGAUGCAAACGGGAAUGAAGAUUGACAGUAAAACUCCUGAAUGUCGUAAAUUUUUAUCAAAGCUAAUGGAUCAGUUAGAAGCUCUUAAGAAACAGUUGGGUGAUAAUGAAGCUGUUACUCAAGAAAUAGUUGGUUGUGCCCAUUUGGAGAAUUAUGCUUUGAAAAUGUUUUUGUAUGCAGAUAAUGAAGAUCGUGCUGGGCGAUUUCACAAAAACAUGAUCAAGUCCUUCUAUACUGCAAGUCUUUUAAUAGAUGUCAUAACAGUGUUUGGAGAACUCACUGAUGAAAAUGUGAAACACAGAAAGUAUGCAAGGUGGAAGGCAACAUAUAUUCACAAUUGUUUAAAGAAUGGAGAGACUCCUCAAGCAGGGCCUGUUGGGAUUGAAGAAGAUAAUGAUGUUGAGGAAAAUGAAGAUGCUGGAACAACCUCUCUGCCCAGUCAGCCACCUCAGCCGUCAUCUUCAGCGUAUGACCCAAGCAACAUGCCAUCAAGCAGCUAUACUGGAAUACAGAUUCCUCCCGGUGCCCACGCUCCAGCUAAUACCCCAGCAGAAGUGCCUCAUAGCACAGGGAUUGAGAAGAUCCUUCACACUCAAGACUUCAUAGCUGCAGAAUAUAUUUCAGAACUUCAGUCAACCUUUGUGAAACCAUAGCUCUAGAACUCUCAUUGGCUAUGUAUCCGUGACCCUGAAAACUUCACAAUUUGUUUUCUCCCUCUCUUCUGUUCCCGUCUUCUUGUCCUAGUGUCUAUCCUACUUUACCGUUACUACAGAUUGCCUAUUCAGAUUUAACCUCUUAGCUUAGGGCAGCAGAAUCCUCUUAGCUUAGGGCAGUCCAUUAAUCAAGAGCAAUCAACUUUUCCUGUUCAUUUGCUUUCUUGUUAAUUGAAUCACCUAAGUCUCUUUUGGGAAGUUUCAACAAUUUAUGUUAAUUUUUUAGAUGAUUAAUAAUCUUCAACUCUAGUAUAUUACUUAGUAUUAGUCAAGAAUGCUAGUUAUCCACUGAAUAUGACAGUCAUGACAGGUUCUAAUAGGAAGUCAAAACUAAUUGCUUAUUGGAUAUAUAAAAAUAUUAUCUUAGAAACAUAAACUGGAAAACUGGAAUAUAUAAUUUAUAAUUUCAUUCAUAGUGAUGAAAUGGGACUCAUCCCAUAAGUUAAACUAAAUCAUAAUUAUAGCCCACCUUGUCCCCAAAAUUAAUUAUUUAUUUAAGAAAUUAAAAGGUAGGAAGGGAGUCUGUUACUUCUACAGAUAUUAGGUAAGCUUUACUUGAGAAGCAACUUGAAGUAUUAGACAUGAUCGAAAAUGCAAAAUACAUAAUAAGAAAUGUGUGGCCAAUACAUGUGUGUAAACACUCAAAAUGUAUUUUUCUGCAUAUUUCCUAUAGCAGCCUCCACUGUCAAAUAAGUAUAUCAAAUUUCAGUUCAUUAAGGUUUCAAGAAAGUAAUUAAGUAAUGAAAUUCCUCCAUGAUCCUUUGAGCACUUUCCUAGAAUGUAAUUGAGAGGUGUAACACUUUUAUACCCAUUUAUGGUUUUCUGAUUUGCAGGUGUAGCAAGUAACACUAUCCAGCCUACUCCACAGACUAUUCCGGCCAUUGAUCCUGCACUUUUCAAUACAGUUUCCCAGGUGAAUUUGUGGCUCACUCUGAAGAGGAGAAUGGAAUUGGGAAGGAGAUAUCCGACUAACACCAGAGGACUUUGCUAGAGCUCAGAAAUACUGCAAAUAUGCUGGCAGUGCUUUGCAGUAUGAAGAUGUCAGCACUGCAGUGCAGAAUCUACAGAAGG